rnacentral:rRNA from 1 species
AACGAACGCUGGCGGCGCGUUUUAAGCAUGCAAGUCGAGCGGGCUACGAUCUUCGGAUUGUAGCUUAGCGGCGAACGGGUGAGUAACACGUAGGUAAUCUACCCUUCAGAGGAGGACAACCUCAGGAAACUGAGGCUAAACCUUCAUACGUUCACUGGUAGGGAUACUGGUGAAGAAAGAGUUACCUUAGUGGUAGCUGCUGAAGGAUGAGCCUGCGGCCCAUCAGGUAGUUGGUGAGGUAACGGCUCACCAAGCCGAAGACGGGUAACCGGUCUGAGAGGAUGUCCGGUCACACUGGGACUGAGACACGGCCCAGACUCCUACGGGAGGCAGCAGCAGGGAAUCUUGGGCAAUGGGCGAAAGCCUGACCCAGCGACGCCGCGUGGAGGAAGAAGUCCUUCGGGGCGUAAACUCCUGGACUGGGGGACGAGGAAGGACGGUACCCCAGUAGAAAGGGACGGCUAACUACGUGCCAGCAGCCGCGGUAAAACGUAGGUCCCGAGCGUUGUUCGGAUUCACUGGGUGUAAAGGGCGCGUAGGUGGUUGUCUGUGUCUCAUGUGAAAACUCAGGGCUCAACUCUGAGAUUGCGUGGGAAACUAGGCAGCUAGAGGACGGUAGAGGGGAGUGGAAUUCCCGGUGUAGCGGUAAAAUGCGUAGAUAUCGGGAGGAACACCGGUGGCGAAGGCGGCCCUCUGGGCCGAUCCUGACGCUGAGGCGCGAAAGCUAGGGGAGCGAACC